UAAAUGAUGAACGCUAUAGAACAAAAAGUAUUAAACUGAGACAAGUGUUUGCUACACAGUUUGGUAUCCGAUUUAAGGAUACGUAGAACUGCGGUGAGUUUUCCUUGUGGUCUAUUAUAUUACAAUACACAGGUUGUAUAAGUAGCAACUGAGUAUAGGUAUUGUAUUAACUGGGUUAUAAUGUUACCUAUCACUAAUAU
rnacentral:sRNA from 1 species